UACGUAGGGGGCAAGCGUUGUCCGGAUUUAUUGGGCGUAAAGAGCGUGUAGGCGGCCUGAAAGGUCAGCUGUGAAAACUCGAGGCUCAACCUCGAGACGUCGGUUGAAACCAUCUGGCUAGAGUCCGGAAGAGGAGUGUGGAAUUCCCGGUGUAGCGGUGAAAUGCGUUGAGAUCGGAAGGAACGCCCGUGGCGAAAGCGAGGUCCUGGACGUCUACUGACGCUGAGACGCGAAAGCUAGGGGAGCGAAUGGG
rnacentral:rRNA from 1 species